rnacentral:lncRNA from 1 species
AAUCUGAAUUUGGAGUUAAGCUAGUAGUAUAAUUUUACAUAUUCGAUUUGGAUUUGACUUAGGAAAAAACAUAUAAAUCCUACACUGUCAUUUUCUAAAAAUUACCAGAUUUAGCUUUACGAACUGUGGUUCUUCUGUAUCACCGCUGUUUGUAUGCGGUGGAUUCCCAGAUUAGUGUAAGAUGAGUUUACGCUCGUGCUGGGAUGCUGAGUUUAUUUUACAGUAGGGUGUAGACUGUUUCGAACUGUCGGAUGCCGUCGUGGUUGACGGUGGACUCAGAUUUCUAUAUUCGCAUCAGAUUGUGCCAAGGGCACGUGAGAUUUGAUUGUUAGACUAGUUAGACCCUUUUGCUUUGAUUAUAGCCUGUGAGAGCCUGAUUGAGCUCGGCAGAGA